UCGCGUACUGUGAUAGGACACCAUAAAGUCAUUAAUUAUGCCACAUGCAUGCGAUAAGACCCAUUGUCAUAGCCACUGACGCACCGGACAAAAGACAGGCUCGCUGAUGGAGCCAUUUAAAGAUGCCCCCAUAUGACUCCAUAUGAUUAGACGUUAUCGAAAUACUCUUCUAUCCUUUCAUCCUUCAUCCUUCUCUCAAUAUAAAUGGAGGUAAAAGAAGACCCCUA
rnacentral:lncRNA from 1 species